GAGGGUAUAAGCUUAGUGGUAGAGUACAUGCCUAGCAUGGACAGAGGCCUGGAUUCAAUCUCCAGUACCUCUA
rnacentral:tRNA from 1 species